UACGUAGGUGGCAAGCGUUGUCCGGAUUUACUGGGCGUAAAGAGCGCGCAGGCGGUCGUUCAAGUCGCGUGUGAAAGCCCCCGGCUCAACUGGGGAGGGUCACGCGAUACUGAUCGACUCGAAGGCAGGAGAGGGAAGUGGAAUUCCUGGUGUAGCGGUGAAAUGCGCAGAUAUCAGGAGGAACACCGGUGGCGAAGGCGGGUCUCUGGGCCGAUGACUGACGCUGAGGAGCGAAAGCGUGGGGAGCGAACAGG
rnacentral:rRNA from 1 species